rnacentral:rRNA from 1 species
GACGAACGCUGGCGGCGUGCCUAAUACAUGCAAGUAGGACGCACAGCCUAUACCGUAGCUUGCUACACCAUAGGCUGUGAGUUGCGAACGGGUGAGUAACGCGUAGGUAACCUGCCUAUUAGAGGGGGAUAACUAUUGGAAACGAUAGCUAAUACCGCAUAACAGUAUGUAACACAUGUUAGAUGCUUGAAAGAUGCAAUUGCAUCGCUAGUAGAUGGACCUGCGUUGUAUUAGCUAGUAGGUAGGGUAAUGUCCUACCUAGGCAACGAUACAUAGCCGACCUGAGAGGGUGAUCGGCCACACUGGGACUGAGACACGGCCCAGACUCCUACGGGAGGCAGCAGUAGGGAAUCUUCGGCAAUGGGGGGAACCCUGACCGAGCAACGCCGCGUGAGUGAAGAAGGUUUUCGGAUCGUAAAGCCCUGUUGUUAAGGAAGAACGAGUGUGAGAAUGGAAAGUUCAUACUGUGACGGUACUUAACCAAAAAA